ACGGGCCUGAGUCAUGGCAUCCUGAUUCAUUAUUCAGCCUGCCUCUGCUCUGCCACCCAGAUACAGACGCCCAUCAUUCAGGCCCUCUACGUCAGCGCAGACAGGGAACGGGAGAUCCAUCCUUAGUGAGAUUGCUGCAGUCACUUCUAAAGCUUGGCCAUCUCAUUUGGAGAGAUCAAAGGGGAUUAGACACUAUCAGAGGCUGGCGGAAGUAUCUCCAUAAUCAGAGCAGACGACUGGUGACUGACUACUGGUCAUCUUUGCUGCGGUUUCACAGUCUACAGGAACACUAUCAUUGUACUGAGGUUCUAUCGAGUUCUGGAUCAAUCCACUACAUGCUGAAAAUCAAGGAUAAAUAUAUGCCAGGCAUUUAAUUAAUCAUUUAUUAAGUGACAGCGUGUCUGCCAGAACAGUGACAGAUGCAGUAUGAAUAGACUGGUCCUGGAUCUGCCAGCUGGCCCGAGCUGCACAGACUCACCUGCCGAUGGAGUUUGCGAGGCUCUCUGUUACCUCCAGAGAGGAGUGAUUCACAACCUGGCAAUGGCAUCUUAAUCAGGACAACCACAGGAGGGAGAAGACCGUGGGAGGACAAACAGGAGUUUGGAACUAAAACUUUGUUUAGUCAUCAGCGCAGAUUGUCUGUGUCGGUUAAUGUCAUUCUCUGAAAUGAUAGAAUCAGUCAUGUGUUUGAGUGUCUUCCAUGUGUUUUAUGAAAGAGUGAUCUACUUGUCUAUACCAGUGGAAGAAUCGUAAAAUUCACAUCAGAUGUUGUAGAAAUGUCUCCAUCAGUUUCCUUCACUAAAUCCAUAUUGGUGCCUCUAUAUCAAAAUCUAUGUAAAUUAAUGAGUACAUUAUUGGCAGCCUCAACAAGUGAAUGAUGACGUUCAUUUUACACCCAGGUCAGGGAAUGGGAAAUGCUGAUGAGGGCUAUCAACCCUGUUGAUUGCAAAGGGAUAAUUGAAUGAUUGUCUACAGUAUAUGGGCUUUCUCAACAUCUACCUCCAGCUCAAUCUCCCUCAGAGACAGACUGGGACAUGGACAAGCUCCCCUGC
rnacentral:lncRNA from 1 species